CUUCGAGGCCUUUCCGAGCUCCCCGCUGCCCAGCUUUCCUCCUGCCCAGCACACCGUGGGUGGACUCCAACCUACGGCUUCACUGAUCUCAGAAGGUCCCACCCUCUCCCGCCUUGUGCUUCUGACUGUUUAUUUCCUGCAGAGGAGUCAGUGUUACUGCCACUGAGAACAGAGAUGGCUCCACCCAGAGGGCCCACCCUUGAGGCACAGGGGACCCUUGCCCAUACCCCCUGCACCCUGGCUCCAUCCUAAUGCAGGGAUAUGAGCUUGGGCCUGUGUCACAGCUGCUUCCUGGGCCUCUGAAUCCUCAUCCUUGAGCUGAGGGUGUGAGACCGGAAAAUCCAAGCCACCAUCCAGCCCCAAUGUCUCCCCAUCCCAUGACUCUCUUCCCCAAAUAACACGUCUCCCCAAAUACCUCUCCUCCUCCCCAGUGAGAGGAGGCGCAGGGGAGGUUGUUGGAUAACUGUGCCUUCUCCUCCCCGAAUCCCAGCCUCUCCUUCUGGAUCCCACACCCAGGGGCCCAGCAGUCAAGGGGCUCAGGGUGCUCCCCAGCCUUUACAGUUUACCCAUCCCUGCAUAGUAGCCAUGAUUUCAUUUCCUCCUCACUGCAGGGUAAAGAUCAUUAGUUCUCCUUUAUAGGUGAUUGUGUGGACUUUGCAAUGCGUUGCCAAGGCAGUGGGGCCUGCUGGGCGGGUUGGCAUGGGGUGGGGAAGGCAGACAAAAACCCACACUGCAACUGGCAGCUCACAACAGGGCCCACGGUGCUUGUGGGAGGGAGGGGCUGCAGGCUGGUGGCCUAAGGCGUGAGAGUCGGUGGGCAGGGGGUUACCCACACACCUGCUUAGGACCCCCAUCUGGCAACAGCCUUUUGGCGUCUUUAGUGCUAUUUUGGGGUCCUGCUGCCUAAGAAUCACCUGGGCCUGGGUGUUGUGGAAAAGGCAGACCUGCUGGGCCGGGGUGGAGAGGAGUCAGCAGUUUAAACAAACCCCCAAGGCAAUUUGGGUAUGCCACCAAUUCCGAGGACACCUUCAGGGAAGAAAGACAUUUAUUGAGCACCUAGCUAUGCCAGGCAGGCCCUUCUGCCUAUUUUCUUUCUUUCUUUCUUUCUUUNNNNNNNNNNNNNNNNNNNNNNNNNNNNNNNNNNNNNNNNNNNNNNNNNNNNNNNNNNNNNNNNNNNNNNNNNNNCCGCCUCCCGGGUUCAAGCAAUUCUCCUGCCUCAGCCUCCCGAGUAGCUGGGACUACAGGUGUGUGCCACCAUGCCUGGCUAAUUUUUGUAUUUUUAGUAGAGACAGGGUUUCACCACGUUGGCCAGGCUGGUCUCUCUAACUCCUGACCUCAAAUGAUCUGCCUGCCUCAGCCUCCCAAAGUGCUGGGAUUACAGGCUUGAGCCACUGCACCCAGCCCCCUUCUGCUUAUUUUCUCUUGCAUUAUAAUCCUCACAGCAACCUUGAGUGGGAGAGGGGGACAGAAGAAAAUUUUUUGUGUGGUUUUUUAAAAAAAUCCUCAUUUCCCAGAGGA
rnacentral:lncRNA from 1 species